GCUCCCGAUACCGGCAGACUUGAGUUUGGUAGGGGAAGGUGGAAUUCCUAGUGUAGCGGUGGAAUGCGCAGAUAUUAGGAAGAACACCAGUGGCGAAGGCGGCCUUCUGGGCCAUAACUGACGCUGAGGAGCGAAAGCUAGGGGAGCAAACAGGAUUAGAUACCCUGGUAGUCCUAGCCGUAAACGAUGGACACUAGGUGUGGGGGGAGGAUCCCUCCGUGCCGCAGCCAACGCAUUAAGUGUCCCGCCUGGGGAGUACGGCCGCAAGGCUAAAACUCAAAGGAAUUGACGGGGGCCCGCACAAGCAGCGGAGCAUGGGCUUAAUUCGAAGCAACGCGAAGAACCUUACCAGGGCUUGACAUGCGGGU
rnacentral:rRNA from 1 species